rnacentral:rRNA from 1 species
CCAGACUCCUACGGGAGGCAGCAGUGAGGAAUAUUGGUCAAUGGCCGCAGGGCUGAACCAGCCAAGUCGCGUGAGGGAUGACGGUCCUAUGGAUUGUAAACCUCUUUUGUCAGGGAGCAAAGGGCGCCACGUGUGGCGUUUUGCGAGUACCUGAAGAAAAAGCAUCGGCUAACUCCGUGCCAGCAGCCGCGGUAAUACGGAGGAUGCGAGCGUUAUCCGGAUUUAUUGGGUUUAAAGGGUGCGUAGGCGGACAGUCAAGUCAGCGGUAAAAAUGCGGUGCUCAACGCCGUACAGCCGUUGAAACUGGCAGUCUUGAGUGGGCGAGAAGUAUGCGGAAUGCGUGGUGUAGCGGUGAAAUGCAUAGAUAUCACGCAGAACUCCGAUUGCGAAGGCAGCAUACCGGCGCCCGACUGACGCUGAGGCACGAAAGCGUGGGUAUCGAACAGGAUUAGAUACCCGAGUA